GCAAGUCGAGGGGUAUCCUAGCAAUAGGAGAGACCGGCGCACGGGUGCCUAACGCGUAUGCAAUCUACCUUUCACAAAGGGAUAGCCCAGAGAAAUUUGGAUUAAUACCUUAUAGUAUAGCGAGUUCGCAUGGAUUUGCUAUUAAAGAUUUAUCGGUGAAAGAUGAGCAUGCGUCCCAUUAGCUAGUUGGUAAGGUAACGGCUUACCAAGGCUACGAUGGGUAGGGGUCCUGAGAGGGAGAUCCCCCACACUGGUACUGAGACACGGACCAGACUCCUACGGGAGGCAGCAGUGAGGAAUAUUGGUCAAUGGGCGCAAGCCUGAACCAGCCAUGCCGCGUGCAGGAUGACGGUCCUAUGGAUUGUAAACUGCUUUUGUACAGGAAGAAACACUCGGACGUGUCCGAGCUUGACGGUACUGUAAGAAUAAGGAUCGGCUAACUCCGUGCCAGCAGCCGCGGUAAUACGGAGGAUCCAAGCGUUAUCCGGAAUCAUUGGGUUUAAAGGGUCCGUAGGCGGCUUAAUAAGUCAGUGGUGAAAUCCCUACGCUUAACGUAGGAACGGCCAUUGAUACUGUUAGGCUUGAAUUAUUAGGAAGUAACUAGAAUAUGUAGUGUAGCGGUGAAAUGCUUAGAGAUUACAUGGAAUACCAAUUGCGAAGGCAGGUUACUACUAAUUGAUUGACGCUGAUGGACGAAAGCGUGGGUAGCGAACAGGAUUAGAUACCCUGGUAGUCCACGCCGUAAACGAUGGAUACUAGCUGUUGGGAGCAAUCUCAGUGGCUAAGCGAAAGUGAUAAGUAUCCCACCUGGGGAGUACGUUCGCAAGAAUGAAACUCAAAGGAAUUGACGGGGGCCCGCACAAGCGGUGGAGCAUGUGGUUUAAUUCGAUGAUACGCGAGGAACCU
rnacentral:rRNA from 1 species